rnacentral:rRNA from 1 species
GACAGAGGUCCCGAGCGUUAGGCGGAAUCACUGGGCUUAAAGCGUGUGUAGGCGGACUUCUAAGUACCUUGUGAAAUUCCCAACGGCUUAACCGUGGAACUGCUUGGUAUACUGGUUGUCUUGGGCCACUAGGGGCUACUGGAACAAACGGUGGAGCGGUGAAAUGCGUAGAUAGUCGUUUGGAACGCCAAUGGUGAAAACAAGUAGCUGGGGGUGUGCCGACGCUGAGACACGAAAGCCAGGGGAGCGAAC